UAAGCGCGCGUAGGUGGUUUGUUAAGUUGGAUGUGAAAUCCCCGGGCUCAACCUGGGAACUGCAUUCAAAACUGACUGACUAGAGUAUGGUAGAGGGUGGUGGAAUUUCCUGUGUAGCGGUGAAAUGCGUAGAUAUAGGAAGGAACACCAGUGGCGAAGGCGACCACCUGGACUGAUACUGACACUGAGGUGCGAAAGCGUGGGGAGCAAACAGGAUUAGAUACCCCUGU
rnacentral:rRNA from 1 species